UGAACACGAUCAAACUUGCUGCCGUCAAAUAGAAAUAUCAAAAUUUUUUGAUUUUCAUUAUACAGACAAAAGCCGACGACAUAAAUAUACUUAAAGCGUUUGAUGGAAUUAUUUGAUCGUACCCAGAGCACUUAACCACCGCUCUAACGGUAUAAUCAGAAAAAUAAAAUAAUAAUAGAACAAUGAAAUAACCAAGUGCAGAACACAAAUGUUUGAAAUAAAGCAGACUCUACUUUGGUGAACAUUGACAAUUUAUCAACUUAUUCUGGGGAUAUAACUGGGCCAAUCUUGGGAAUCACCUUUUUCCAGAGCUGCUUUUUGAAAAAAUAUAAAAAAUGAGGUCUGAAUCUACAUAAGAUUUGCUAAGAAUGUACGUACAAGUAUGUUUAUCGCUUUAUAUAAAUUUUUCGCAAAAUGAAGUUACUAGGCUG